CGCCUCUUGCUAAUCAUAAGAGGUCUAGCCUGCCCAGUGACCCAGUUCAACGGCCGCGGUAUCCUAACCGUGCGAAGGUAGCGUAAUCACUUGUUCUUUAAAUGAGGACUAGUAUGAAUGGCAUCACGAGGGUUAAACUGUCUCCCUUUUUCAAUCAGUGAAACUAAUCUCCCCGUGAAGAAGCGAGGAUAAAUUUAUAAGACGAGAAGACCCUAUGGAGCUUUAAACUAAGCAACAAUUGUUCCUAAAUUUUAUUGUCCAGAACAUUAACCGCCAUCUUAACAAUGUGAUUGCUAGUUUUCGGUUGGGGUGACCGCGGAGUAUAAAUUAACCUCCACGAUGAAAGAAACUUUAUUUCUUAAUCCAGAGUUACAACUCGAAGCACCAAAAAUUUGACAUAAAUUGAUCCAAUCUGCUUGAUCAACGAACCAAGUUACCCUAGGGAUAACAGCGCAAUCCACUUCAAGAGCCCCUAUCGACAAGUGGGUUUACGACCUCGAUGUUGGAUCAGGGUAUCCCAGUGGUGCAGCCGCUACUAAAGGUUCGUUUGUUCAACGAUUAAAACCCU
rnacentral:rRNA from 1 species